rnacentral:rRNA from 1 species
CGAGCGCAACCCCUAUUGUUAGUUACCAUCAUUUAGUUNAGCACUCUAAUGAGACUGCCGGUBACAAGCCGGAGGAAGAUGGGGAUGACGUCAAAUMCUSAUGGCCCUUAUGACCAGGGCUUMACACGUCMUACAAUGGUCGGUACAGAGRGUMGCCAAGCCGCGAGGUGGAGCCAMUCUBUBAAACCCGHUCGUAGUCCGGAUUGCACUAUGCAACUCGAGUGCAUGAAGUCGGAAUCGCUNGUAAUCGCAGGUCAGCAUACUGCGGUGAAUACGUUCCCGGGUCUUGUACACACCGCCCGUCACACCAUGGGAGUGGGGGAUACCAGAAGUAGGUAGGGUAACCGCAAGGAGCCC